rnacentral:sRNA from 1 species
AUAUAUUUAUAUAUACACUGUAUACAAACUUACAAGUUACAUAGGGUUAAGAAUAACAUUUCCAUUACCUACAUGUGAUAUUUGGAUAAUUUUAAAUGUGUAAAAAAGAUGCUAAUACAAGUAAUAUAAACUCAAAACCUACAUCUGCUUUUGGGUUUUUUUGGUUUGAAAUCCGGUAAAGAGGGAUAGAAUCAGAAGAGAUAAGGUUGUAACUGGUAUAUAUGUAUGAAGAUGUGUUAAAGAUUGCAUGAACAUAGGCUCUCAUGAAAAUGUGGAAAUAAGAAAGAUAUUAAACCUUUGUUUUUUUUAACGGCAUGUGAUAUUUGAAAAUUGUUAAAAGUUCAGGUUGAUAUCUAGUCAAUGUUAUAUUAUUUGGCAUUUGUUCCACUUCCUGUUGGAUUGCUACAAUCCUGUGUUGUUGCUAUUUUCCCCUUAUUAUGACAACCACUGCUGUAUAGAUGAAGCUUUUCCUGCCAACUGUGUGAAGAACAUUUAAGCCUUUGUUGAUGUUGAAACUUCUGCCACUGAGUCAUUUUCAAGCAAUAUUAUUACUAUACACAUGUAAAUUUAAUAUACAUCUGUAAUUUUCUUCUUCCAUUAAUAGGUUUACGAAGGCAAAUCAUUAAUUAACACAUAUUAUUGAGCUGUUAUAUUGACUCAGAUUCAUUUAUUCUGUACUCCAAGAUGAUGAGAAAAUGACUGUUCAUGUAAAAGACUUUUUUUAAAACGUCUGAAACCCAUAGGUCAUUUUGUUUAUGAAUUUCUAGAAUUAUCUGGGUAAGCAUUUGAUUGUUGCAAUGGUUUAUUUUUGUAUUAGUUCUAAAUUUUAUGAAAGAGAAAGUUUGUUAUUUCUUUAUUCAGCUGAUUACGUUAUAUUUGCCCCAACAUCAUACAAAUAAACCAUGAUCG